ACGUAUGGUGCAAGCGUUAUCCGGAUUUACUGGGUGUAAAGGGAGCGCAGGUGGUGCGGCAAGUCUGAUGUGAAAGCCCGGGGCUCAACCCCGGUACUGCAUUGGAAACUGUCGUACUAGAGUGUCGGAGGGGUAAGCGGAAUUCCUAGUGUAGCGGUGAAAUGCGUAGAUAUUAGGAGGAACACCAGUGGCGAAGGCGGCUUACUGGACGAUAACUGACGCUGAGGCUCGAAAGCGUGGGGAGCAAACAG
rnacentral:rRNA from 1 species